rnacentral:rRNA from 1 species
GCCUACCAUGGUUUUAACGGGUAGCGGGGAAUUAGGGUUCGACUCCGGAGAGGGAGCCUGAGAAACGGCUACCACAUCCAAGGAAGGCAGCAGGCGCGCAAAUUACCCAAUCCCGAUACGGGGAGGUAGUGACAAUAAAUAACAAUACAGGGCUCUUAUGGGUCUUGUAAUUGGAAUGAGUACAAUUUAAAUCUCUUAACGAGGAACAAUUGGAGGGCAAGUCUGGUGCCAGCAGCCGCGGUAAUUCCAGCUCCAAUAGCGUAUAUUAAAGUUGUUGCAGUUAAAAAGCUCGUAGUUGAAUUUCGAAAUUUUUUUAUCGGUUGAAUCAACAGGUUCGUACUGAUUUUAAGAAUUUCUACCUUCUGGAGAACCUUAAUGUCAUUUAUUUGAUGUUUUGGGAAACCAGGACUGUUACCUUGAAAAAAUUAGAGUGUUUAAAGCAGGCUUAUGUCUGAAUAUAUUAGCAUGGAAUAAUGAAAUAGGACGGCAUGGUUCUAUUUUGUUGGUUUCUAGGAUCACCGUAAUGAUUAAUAGGGAUAGUUGGGGGCAUUAGUAUUCAAUUGUCAGAGGUGAAAUUCUUGGAUUUAUUGAAGACUAACUUCUGCGAAAGCAUUUGCCAAGGAUGUUUUCAUUAAUCAAGAACGAAAGUUAGGGGAUCGAAGACGAUCAGAUACCGUCGUAGUCUUAACCAUAAACUAUGCCGACUAGGAAUCGGACGAAGUUAAUUUUUUAAUGACUCGUUCGGCGCCUUACG